rnacentral:rRNA from 1 species
CGGGACGGGUGAGUAAUGUCUGGGAAACUGCCUGAUGAGGGGGGAUAACUACUGGAAACGGUAGCUAAUACCGCAUAACGUCGCAAGACCAAAGAGGGGGACCUUCGGGCCUCUUGCCAUCGGAUGUGCCCAGAUGGGAUUAGCUAGUAGGUGGGGUAACGGCUCACCUAGGCGACGAUCCCUAGCUGGUCUGAGAGGAUGCCAGCCACACUGGAACUGAGACACGGUCCAG